AAACUUCUCCAAUGAAAAAUUUUAUAAAUUUCAUAACAAUGACUCCACCUACACCCGACCACAGAGACCUCUACGGUUAUAUCUAUUUUUCCUUUUUUCUUUUCUUUAGACUUGUUUCAAUCACCACAUUUAUAUGUAAAAAGAAAAAAGAAGAAGAAGAAAGAGGGACAUUAUCAGAUUUGGAUUCGUUCAUUCCGGCCCUAAACGACCACACUUGUUGGAGAUGAAAGAAUAAGUCGAUAUGCAAAGUCAAGGCUCACCAUUGAUGUUGGGAGAGCCAUUCAAUGCUUCUUUUCUUGACAAGGAGACACCUGUUCUUGUCAAUGCUGUAAUCUCACCGUUAUUCUAACAGACAAGAGUCCAUCAUAACUAUAGUUCAACAUCUCAUUGCUCCAAUAUAUUUUUAAGAACCAAACCUAAGUGAUCAGUUGAAUCUCCCUUUCCCCCCUCCCUACCACCUUUUUUUCUGAAUAAAUUCCCCUAAUCAAAACAAAAACGUGCACAGUACUGAAAAGAAUAAAAAAAAAAGGGACGACAAGGGCCUAACAUCUCAUCUGGUUAGCUUGUGAAACAUGACAAGUGUUGAUGCAAUCUAAAAAAGUCAAUGUCACUUUUUGCCCUUUUGGUGAUAUCCCUUGUUCACGUUUGAACAACAUCACCAUGAAGCAUUUGGCCUUUCAUGUUCAUUUAUUGUCUUUGUCACGAUAACAUAGACGCUAUGGUCAGAUUUUUGUCAACCUUAAUGCGCGAAAAUAUCCUUAUUGUGAAUGUUAGAUGAUGCAAACUAACUGAUCAUAUUCUUACCAUGUCCCACCUCUAUUCACAGACACCGCAACUAGAGGCGAACCUAGGGGUGCUGGCAUGAGUCUCGGUCUCUCUAAAAUGAAAAAUUACUAUUUAAAUCUUUUAAAAUUUUUUAAAAUUUUAAAUUAGAAGAGAAAAAAUUAUACUUUAGUUUCCCUAAAAUUAUAAAAAAUUUAAUUUAAUAUUUUAUAAUUUAUAAACAAAAUAAAAUCUCAUUCUACCCCUAAAAAUAAUUCUAACUCCACAUAUAUCAUCAGCAAAUAGCAAACACUGUGCUUGCUGUUCUGGUUAUACCACUUUUAUGUAUUCCACAUUAAUUGUAACAGUAGCGGUGUUUAAAGUUGCAAAAUUUGGACAAAUUAAUUCAUAUCAUUGAAUUAUGUAUAUUUGGAUAUCUUACCAUAUAUGCACGAGGUAAUUAAUUAUUACCCUGCAUCAGAGUGAUAAAUGCAUUUCCAUCAUUAUGAGAAAUCAUUUCCUUAAUCUUGGCUUUUUAACUCUAUUGGGGUUGUUCAAAUGAUCCAGACAUGGAAGCUAUUUGAGCCAUUCACACUAUUGAAACCCAAUCAAAAUUUUGUUAUUUUAUAAAAUUAAAAUAAAUUUUAAUUAAUUGAUUAAUAUUUUUUUUAAUUUAUAUAAUCAUUCUUUAUUCACUUUACUUGGUUUUCAUCAUUUCUACGAUUUAAAUUAAUUUUUAGUUAGUGGAUUGAAUCAUGAGUCAAAUCACAAAAUCUAGUGCGGAAAUGAACCUUGCAUUAUGAAUAAUAUAGCAAUGAAUUUAAAUUUAAGGAAAGCCAUUUACUAAGUUGAAUGGUUUUGAGAAUCUUAAAUGCAGUGGGAACACCACAUCAACCCCAACUGAAAUUAAUCAAAAAGCAAGAGAGAGAGAGAGAGAGAGAGAGCACUUUAGAAUUUUGAUGAUUUCGCAUUCAUGAGGCAACUUAUACCAGCCCCAACACCCUCGAUCUUUGUGUAUAUAUACUCUCCCAAAGCAUACACAUUUUAUUCUAACGUAGGUUACAGUCUCUCUCCACUCUUUUUCUCUGCAACUCACAGUCAUGGUUUCUCACCUGGUCAACACUAUACGAAAUGUAGUAGGGAUCACAGGUAUUUUAGCUUAUACACCGAAUCUAUGAUACUUUCUUCCUGUUACAACAUGAGAUUCUAUUUUCAUAUCACUACAUAACUAAUAUGGGUUAUUCUGGGUUUUUUGCAGGGAACGUUAUCGCACUCUUCCUGUUCUUGUCUCCAGUGUAAGCUCUUCUUAGGCUUUUAUCAUAAUCUUUUCAUAGCACAGUGUUAUUUUUUUUUUUUUAAUUUCGAUAAAACUAAUACGAAAAGACAAACAUCCCUUGUUUGUCCGUGGAAACUGAAAAGAUAUUUUAGCCAUAGCAGUGACUGGGUUUGAUUUAUAUAAAAAUUAUAAUCAAUGCUCUUUUCCUUUUUUAAUUUUCCUAAUGAAAAUUUAUUUGUAAAAAAAAAGAUUGGAGUGAUAACUUUUUUACAAAUUACAAAAAUAAAUUUCUUUUUCAAAAAGAUUUAUUCUUAUUAAUCAUUAAUAAUCACAAAAGUAACAAAAAUUCCUUCCAACUUCUGUGUAUUUCAAAUUUAAUUUGAUAGCUAUUCAUAUUGUUCAAUCUCCUUCUGUAUUGAUAAUAAUAUUUAUGCGAAUUAAGUUAAAGAUUAAAAAAAACUAAUUUAAAAAUAAAACAAAUGAUUCCAUGUGCUAAAAUAAAGUUUUGAAUGAAUCAAAUACAUUAAAUCAAAAGUUAUAAUACUUUAAUUAAUCGAACAGGCACAUGUAUUAAGCAGUGGUCCUUGUUUAUUGACGUUAGUUACAAUGGAUUAAAUGGGUAAUCUUUUUUGCCUAAUCAUAUUUAUUAUUGCAGGCCAACUUUUAUUCGAAUUUGGAAGAAAGGAUCAGUGGAGCAGUUCUCCCCAGUACCAUACCUAGCAACCUUAAUCAAUUGCAUUGUUUGGGUCAUUUACGGCCUGCCAAUGGUGCAUCCCAACAGCAUCCUUGUUAUAACCAUCAAUGCUGCAGGGACCGCCAUCGAGGUCGUCUUCCUCGCCCUCUUCCUCAUCUUCUGUCAUGACAAGAAAAAGCGACUCAAAGUGCUACUUAUCAUCAUGGUCGAGCUCAUUUUCAUGGCCGCUCUCGCCACUCUGAUCCUCACUGUCCUUCACACCACUCAACGCCGAUCCAUAAUCGUUGGAAUUAUAGCAAUUUUGUUCAAUGUCAUGAUGUAUGCUGCGCCUUUAUCCGUCAUGGUUAGUAUCAUACAUGCACAUGCAUUUUUUUUACUAAUGAAUUUAGGUGGAACAUAGGUCCCUAACAGACUAGACGCAUUCAUGGAUCUAUAGUUACUCAUGAUUUAAAAUAAUAAAACAUAUUUUUAGGAUUGGAUAAGCUUGACUGCUUAGUCCAUGAACAUUUCUAAAUGAUACUGAAAUAAUUUGCAUUAAUUUCCGUGGGUUGGACACUCUUAUUGUAAGUAUAUAAUUAGUAGAAUUUUGUUAUUGGUUUAGCAUAUAUUCCUCAAUCCAACAGCCUUAGCUGUAUUCUCUCUCUCUAUAUAUAUAUAUACACACACACAAUAAUGAAUCAUGAUGGUGCAGAAACUGGUGAUUACGACGAAAAGUGUGGAGUAUAUGCCAUUUUUCCUCUCACUGGCUUCCUUUGCCAACGGUGUUGCUUGGACUACUUAUGCUUUCCUCCCUUUUGACCCCUUCAUUGCUGUAAGUUAUACCUAAUGUUUUUACCUCUUUUUCUUUUUGGCUCCUUAUUCGUAUAUAUGUAAGUAUUUAUAUUUCAGGUUCCAAAUGGAGUGGGCACAAUAUUUAGUUUAGCCCAGCUAUUGUUAUACGCCACAUAUUACAAGUCCACAAAGAGAAUAAUAGCAGCAAGGAAAGAGGCGAAGAUGGAGAUGCAUCUCUCGUUGUCGGACGUGGCCGUCGCCAACGGCGAUGUUGAUCCCAAGAAGACCGCUGGAGCAACACCUUAACCUUGAGAGACCCAAACAAUGCAUCCAUUUCCAAUAUAUAUAAUUAUAUCCAACUAUAUCUAUCUAUCUAUAUAUGUCUGUAUUAUUUAUAAAUAUAGACUAAUUAGUGGGUGCGAGUUUGUUUUAGUUAUCAACAUAUAUCCCUUUCGACUUCUCAAUCCAUGUUUGACUUUUUAUAAAAAUGUAUGGGCUAUUGAGAACAAAGUUGUCUUCAGUUAAUGGAUUGAUUAUGUUGAAGAAAGAUAUACACCCUCAUCUGCAUCUGUGCCUGUCAAUGCUGUAGUCUCACCGUUACUCUAACAGAUAAGAGUCCAUCAUACCAACAUCUCAUUGCUCCAAUAUAUUUGGUUGUGAUUUUUAAGAACCAAACCUAAGUGAUCAGUUGAAUCUCCCUUUCCCUCCUCCCCACCACCUUUUUUUCUGAAUAAAU
rnacentral:lncRNA from 1 species